rnacentral:rRNA from 1 species
UACGAGAGGCCCAAACGUUAUUCGGAAUUACUGGGCUUAAAGAGUUCGUAGGCGGCGCAGAAAGUAGGGUGUGAAAGCCCUCGGCUCAACCGAGGAAUUGCGCCCUAAACUACUGUGCUUGAGGAACCUAGAGGUGAGCGGAACUGAUGGUGGAGCGGUGAAAUGCGUUGAUAUCAUCAGGAACACCGGAGGCGAAGGCGGCUCACUGGGGGUUUUCUGACGCUGAUGAGCGAAAGCUAGGGGAGCAAACGGG